rnacentral:rRNA from 1 species
GACGAACGCUGGCGGCGUGCUUAACACAUGCAAGUCGAACGGAAAGGCCCUGCUUUUGUGGGGUGCUCGAGUGGCGAACGGGUGAGUAACACGUGAGUAACCUGCCCUUGACUUUGGGAUAACUUCAGGAAACUGGGGCUAAUACCGGAUAGGAGCUCCUGCUGCAUGGUGGGGGUUGGAAAGUUUCGGCGGUUGGGGAUGGACUCGCGGCUUAUCAGCUUGUUGGUGGGGUAGUGGCUUACCAAGGCUUUGACGGGUAGCCGGCCUGAGAGGGUGACCGGCCACAUUGGGACUGAGAUACGGCCCAGACUCCUACGGGAGGCAGCAGUGGGGAAUAUUGCACAAUGGGCGGAAGCCCGAUGCAGCAACGCCGCGUGCGGGAUGACGGCCUUCGGGUUGUAAACCGCUUUCGCCUGUGACGAAGCGUGAGUGACGGUAAUGGGUAAAGAAGCACCGGCUAACUACGUGCCAGCAGCCGCGGUGAUACGUAGGGUGCGAGCGUUGUCCGGAUUUAUUGGGCGUAAAGGGCUCGUAGGUGGUUGAUCGCGUCGGAAGUGUAAUCUUGGGGCUUAACCCUGAGCGUGCUUUCGAUACGGGUUGACUUGAGGAAGGUAGGGGAGAAUGGAAUUCCUGGUGGAGCGGUGGAAUGCGCAGAUAUCAGGAGGAACACCAGUGGCGAAGGCGGUUCUCUGGGCCUUUCCUGGCGCUGAGGAGCGAAAGCGUGGGGAGCGAACAGGCUUAGAUACCCUGGUAGUCCACGCUGUAAACGGUGGGUACUAGGUGUGGGGUCCAUUCCACGGGUUCCGUGCCGUAGCUAACGCUUUAAGUACCCCGCCUGGGGAGUACGGCCGCAAGGCUAAAACUCAAAGGAAUUGACGGGGCCCCGCACAAGCGGCGGAGCAUGCGGAUUAAUUCGAUGCAACGCGUAGAACCUUACCUGGGUUUGACAUGGAUCGGGAGCGCUCAGAGAUGGGUGUGCCUCUUUUGGGGUCGGUUCACAGGUGGUGCAUGGCUGUCGUCAGCUCGUGUCGUGAGAUGUUGGGUUAAGUCCCGCAACGAGCGCAACCCUUGUUCACUGUUGCCAGCACGUUAUGGUGGGGACUCAGUGGAGACCGCCGGGGUCAACCCGGAGGAAGGUGGGGAUGACGUCAAGUCAUCAUGCCCCUUAUGUCCAGGGCUUCACGCAUGCUACAAUGGCUGGUACAGAGAGUGGCGAGCCUGUGAGGGUGAGCGAAUCUCGGAAAGCCGGUCUCAGUUCGGAUUGGGGUCUGCAACUCGACCUCAUGAAGUCGGAGUCGCUAGUAAUCGCAGAUCAGCAACGCUGCGGUGAAUACGUUCCCGGG